UUGCAUCCAUAUCACGCUGAAACACCAGUUUCCCUCCGAUCACCGAAGUUAAGUAAGGUCGAACCUGGUCAGUACCUAGAUGGGUGACCGCUU